UACAGGGGGGCAAGCGUUGUUCGGAAUUACUGGGCGUAAAGGGCCAGUAGGCGGCCAACUAAGUCACACGUGAAAUCCCAGCUUAACCUGGGAACUGCGUGUGAUACUGGAUGGCUUGAAUUCGGGAGAGGAUGCAGAAUUCCAGGUGUAGCGGUGAAAUGCGUAGAUAUCGUGGAGGAAUACCGGUGGCGAAGGCGGCAUCCUGGACCGACAUUGACGCUGACGGCGGAAAGCUAGGGAGCAAACGGGAG
rnacentral:rRNA from 1 species